UCCCUCCUUUUGGAGUUUUACAGUGUGCCCAGGGCACGGACACAGGAGACAGCAAAAUUUCAGCUGUAAUGAGAGAGAAGAAAAAAAGCACAUCCAGUGUUCUGCAAGGACUCAGCAGCUUCCAUUUCCAAACUUACUGCUCCAACCUUCCAAGAACUUCUGCAAGAUCUAUCACAAUGCCCCAGGACCUCAGAUUUCCUAGCACCAACUCAGCCCUUAGGAGCUUUGCAGUUAAGAACAAUGUCAACAUCCUCAGUAUUUUAGUUGAAGUCAUAUCUCAUUACUAUCAAGAGAUCUGCACAAAAUCCUGACUGGGCAAUAGUGAUGGCAAUAGAAGAUUGAGAGGGAAUGAGAGAA